GACGAACGCUGGCGGCGUGCCUAAUACAUGCAAGUAGAACGCUGAAGAGAGGAGCUUGCUCUUCUUGGAUGAGUUGCGAACGGGUGAGUAACGCGUAGGUAACCUGCCUUGUAGCGGGGGAUAACUAUUGGAAACGAUAGCUAAUACCGCAUAACAAUGGAUGACACAUGUCAUUUAUUUGAAAGGGGCAAUUGCUCCACUACAAGAUGGACCUGCGUUGUAUUAGCUAGUAGGUGAGGUAACGGCUCACCUAGGCGACGAUACAUAGCCGACCUGAGAGGGUGAUCGGCCACACUGGGACUGAGACACGGCCCAGACUCCUACGGGAGGCAGCAGUAGGGAAUCUUCGGCAAUGGGGGCAACCCUGACCGAGCAACGCCGCGUGAGUGAAGAAGGUUUUCGGAUCGUAAAGCUCUGUUGUAAGUCAAGAACGAGUGUGAGAGUGGAAAGUUCACACUGUGACGGUAGCUUACCAGAAAGGGACGGCUAACUACGUGCCAGCAGCCGCGGUAAUACGUAGGUCCCGAGCGUUGUCUGGAUUUAUUGGGCGUAAAGCGAGCGCAGGCGGUUUGAUAUGUCUGAAGUUAAGGCUGUGGCUCAACCAUAGUUCGCUUUGGAAACUGUCAAACUUGAGUGCAGAAGGGGAGAGUGGAAUUCCAUGUGUAGCGGUGAAAUGCGUAGAUAUAUGGAGGAACACCGGUGGCGAAAGCGGCUCUCUGGUCUGUAACUGACGCUGAGGCUCGAAAGCGUGGGGAGCGAACAGGAUUAGAUACCCUGGUAGUCCACGCCGUAAACGAUGAGUGCUAGGUGUUGGAUCCUUUCCGGGAUUCAGUGCCGCAGCUAACGCAUUAAGCACUCCGCCUGGGGAGUACGACCGCAAGGUUGAAACUCAAAGGAAUUGACGGGGGCCCGCACAAGCGGUGGAGCAUGUGGUUUAAUUCGAAGCAACGCGAAGAACCUUACCAGGUCUUGACAUCCCGAUGCUAUUUCUAGAGAUAGAAAGUUACUUCGGUACAUCGGUGACAGGUGGUGCAUGGUUGUCGCCAGCUCGUGUCGUGAGAUGUUGGGUUAAGUCCCGCAACGAGCGCAACCCCUAUUGUUAGUUGCCAUCAUUCAGUUGGGCACUCUAGCGAGACUGCCGGUAAUAAACCGGAGGAAGGUGGGGAUGACGUCAAAUCAUCAUGCCCCUUAUGACCUGGGCUACACACGUGCUACAAUGGUUGGUACAACGAGUUGCGAGUCGGUGACGGCAAGCUAAUCUCUUAAAGCCAAUCUCAGUUCGGAUUGUAGGCUGCAACUCGCCUACAUGAAGUCGGAAUCGCUAGUAAUCGCGGAUCAGCACGCCGCGGUGAAUACGUUCCCGGGCCU
rnacentral:rRNA from 1 species